CAGGAGGCCAAGGGUACUGGAGGCACAGACGGGGGCCCGUGGGGGCAGGACAGCAGCCUCCCCGAGGCACAUGGCUGAGUGCUGAGCUGGGAAGGCACCAUCGUAAUGCCCUGGAGGGCCAGACUUGAAAUGAGAACUCUUACAAAACCACACCAGAGCACAGCCCACCUCCCUUCUCUUCCCUGACUGUGCCCCCCAGCAGAGGACCCUGGCCCACAGCCAAGCCACAUCCAUGCCACUCCUGCGAACAGCCACUUGUAAGUGGGUCAAGGGGUGGGCACAGAGGCAGAAUGGUCCCCUCAGGACAUCCUGGGAACGGCCCUGCACAGGCCUUGACAGCAAGCUUAGAGGUGUCUGUGCCAGGAAUGCUGGGUACCCAAGUGUGGUCAAGAAAGAGUUGCAAAGAGCCCCCAGACUCCUCACUGUGGGGAGAGGAGCCUUCCGGAGUGGGGGCCAGUGGGGCCCUUCUUUCCUGGGUCUCGGGGCAGUACCCUUAGAAAGACCCAAAUGUCUAUGCCAUGUCCCCUGGAAGUCAGCCUGUGUCAGUGCCCAAGAAAGCCCCCCUCCCUAUGGGGGUCAGGGAGGAAAGUCUUGCCCUUGCUUGCCCAGAGCUCAUAGUCUGGCUGGGGAAGGAAGCCGCACCCAGGAAAGGGACUUGGGAACAUGUAUAUAGAAACCCAGCAACAGAGGAAGGCAAGCAGGGCACAAUGGGGAGGUGAGUAGAGAGGCUGGUCCAGGCUCUGAGCACCCCCAGCCCAGAUGCUGCUGUGGGGCUGGACAGCACGGCUGGUAGCAGAGCCCACAGCCACAAGCAUGCCGUUCUCCUCCCACCCCUGGCUUGUCAAGGCAGCAGGAAUUCUGCUGAAAGUUUCUUUAGUUGAGGAGGGUAUCAAAGUCUAGGGCAUCUCUGGAAGCACCCUGAGUGGGGUCUCCCUGGCUAAAGGGCUCCCCAGGAUGCAACUGUGUUGCCGCCAUCACAAGGGGCUGUGGAGACCGGCAAUGCUCCUCCUCUGAUGAAGGCAACCUUCCCUGUGCUCCUCUUUCAAGCCCUGGGAUACCCCCAGUUCCUUGCUUCUGUCAUGCCUAAGACACACAGGUGGACUCAGAGUAACACAAAUUGGCUCGUAUGUCCAGCUGUCUCGGUCUAUCUCUACGUGGACACAUCCAAAACCUGUUUCCAUCUCACAAUUGGUGUCGCUGUUCGUGAGGCUGAGCAACAAAAACCCACCAGCCAGCCGUGAGUGAGUCUCUCAUCCCUCCCCACAUCCCAUCAAUCCAGGUGGUUUUGGCUCUACUGCCUAAGUGGACAUCUCAAAGCCAUUUACUUCCCUCCAAUCCCAAUAUGACCCCAAUCUAAACACCCGCAAGAUGACAGCCCCAACCUCUUGAUGAGGCUCCCCGCCCCUCCAAGCCACUCUCAACCAAGCAGCUAGAAAGACCUCUUGGAGACAUAAAUCAGACCAUGUCACUCUCUUACCAUAAACCUUCCAAUGACUUCCCACUGCACCCAUGAAUACACUCCAAAUGCCAACUGUGGCCCUCGGCAUCUCGGCUCCCAACUACCGGCCUCCCUGACUCUGCCCAAAGCCAUCUCUGGCCACAGCGGCCUUCCUUCAUGUCCUUGAAUGCCCCAGGCCAGUUCGUGCUUGCCCCAGGCCCUCAGUACUGGGCUUGCUCUUCCAUCUGCCUGCGUGCUGCCUCCAGCUCCUUCUUGUCAUCCUGUCUUGGCUCAAAAGCCACUUCCAUGGAAAGGAAGGACACUGGAUCCCUGUGUGUGACACAGCCAAGGGCUCUCCCUUCCCAUUCUCACUGUGACUCUUUGCCCUGAUGAAUUUCCUUCCUGGAGUUCUCACUAUCUGAAAUGACAUUCACUGACUUGCGUGCUGCUGCACGAGGCAGGGCUCCUCUCUACUUCUCACUUCUGUGUUCCUCCAUGCUUAGCACAAGCAGGCAUCAAAAAUAUCUGCUGAUUGCCUGAAUAAAUGCGCGUACAUCUAAAUGAAUGAGUGGGUACCAUAUGGGAGCUCAAGGAAGCCUCCGGGCAUGGCUAGAAAGAGUCCCAGACUGUCACAGGCCACAGUAACUGCUCCUUUGGACAGAUCACGCUGGGCCUUAAAGACAGAGCAUCGAAGGUGGCAUGUUUUCCUGCAAUGACCUCCUUUCCUUCUGUAUCGCCUUUAUCUUUUCAUUACUCCUUUUCUUCUAAGAUCAGGUCCUUGUCUAAUUGUGCCUUUAUCGUGAUCUCAGCAAUGAACACGGCACAGAGCAUGUGGUAAGGUUUCAGGAACUGAGAAGGGCUUCGUGAUGAAGGUGAAGGCAAUGGUGACAGUGACGAGAAUGGUGGUCAGCAGGGCUCCUGCUAGUGUAGACAGUGGAAGAACAAAAAGGUACCCGCUCUGGGCAGAUGCAGCCCACAGGGAACCUACCCUUGUCCCUGUGGGAAGAACCAAGGUGCCUUCUCCUGCAGGGGACACAGACUUCCGUGUCCUACUGAGAGCAUGGUGGUGGUGAAGCCUGGAACUGCGGUGAGGAGGACUGUGGGCACUGGGGUGGUGGGUGCAGGUGGCAGGGCUGGAGAGGUGUGUUUCAGGUGGUUUUUAGACACCACAAAGCUGGAGCGCCAACAACGCACAGUCUGAGCUGCCUGGGAAGAGCUGGUGGGGGCACAUCCAUUCAGGUUAGGGGGUGCCCUAGAUUUGAGGACACUCACCUCACCUGCACCACUCUCCAGCACCUGGGAAGUGGUUGCCGAGAACAAGGCUGGACGUUGCUGGGAGAGGCUGCUAAACACUGGUGUGUCCCCACUGUUGGCUGGGGCCACAGGCCACCGGAGAGUCAGUUGCACCAGGCAAAUAUUUGCCUUGCUCUUUAUAUUUCAUUAGAACUCCCUCUUACGAUGUUGGUUCUGACUGCAGGGGUUGAGCACCUUCAUUUCCAGGCCACUACAAGCCUUGCCCGUCAGGCGGUCCAGGCAGCUCACUCUGCCACACAUGGAACUUGGGGAAGCCCUGCUCUCACUCCUUCUGCAGUUUCUCAACUGCAGUGCAAGGACAGAGCCACUGCCUUUUCCACCCCGAGCCUCAGUUUCCUCAUCUGUGGAAUGGGUAAUUGCCAGAUCUCAGGGCUAUCAUGGGGGUCAGGUGAGAUCAUAUCCACCACUAGCACAUGGUAGGCACUCAGGACAUGUUGGUUCCUUUCCUUCCCUCUCUUUCCCAGCCCUCCCAACAAAGAGUUGAUUUCUCAGUCCCAAGGAGAGGCCAGAAAUUGGAGGUCUGGCUGCUGCUGUUUCCACCAAGGCCUCUUCCUGGGGCCUGAUUGAAUCCUCUCCUGUGGAUUCAUUUUCUCCUCAUGGAAGAACAACUUCCACCUGUGUCUCAAGAACAAGUGUCUGCGUUGAAGACAGCAACCCCAGGCCUGGCAGAACAGGCUGCUGCAUAUGCAUGCUGGGUGCAGUUUGAAGGCAGCUGCACUGAGGGUCAUGCCGGGUCCCAUCCUGGGUGCAGGAGACAGGGCCAGUACCCACGCCCCAGGACCUCUCCUUGUGUCAUCUCCACUUCUCGCAGAUGCCAAGCACCUGAUUCUGAGAUGAGGCAAUCAAGGUCUACAGGAUGAGGGGACUCAUCAGAGGCCACACAGCAGCCCCAGCUGGCCUUCUGCCUCCAGCCCCUCUUUGGCCACUUCAGGCUGCCAAGGGAGAGGAGAGACUUCUGGGAUGGGUCACUGGAGUGCUGAGCCUUGCAGGGUAACGUCCAAAGAAGGGUAACCAUGGUUUCUAACAAUAGCCUCCAUGCCUGGAACAAGCUCACACCUCGGAGGGAGGGAGGAGGCAUGGCUGGAGAGGCUCGGGAGGGAGUCUGCUGACCCAGAUCGCCCAGGAUGGAGGCAAGAGGCUUGCAUCCUCCAAGAUGGUGGCCCACCUGCGCUGACUCACAAGACUGCCUGACUGCCACCAACACUUAGGAGAUCUCCUGGGGGCCUGGUCUGGGCCCGGCUGGGGGAGGCAGUAGAAGCCUGGGGUCAGGAGUCUAGCUUCUUGCAGUGCCAGGCAGCCUGGGGCAAGCUUUCCCCAGUCUGUGGGAGGCAAGCUCCCUAGCCCCAACCGAGGGCAUCCUCCUUCACGUUCCGUGAGCUACAACAAGGUCUUCAGAAUCAGCUAACAUAAACCUUGCCAAGGCAGAUGGGAGCUGGGGACUGGGCCCCAGGGAGCCACAGCUUCAGAGAACAUCAUUAUGUGCCUCACAAGUGGGGAAACUGAGGCCCAAAGGAGGAAAGAGACUCAUAGAGGGACUUGAAAGAGGAGAUUAGGGCAGGGUUUUCUGUACUAAAUACUCUCCUCAGCUCUCAUGUGGACCUAGGGCUCCAAAGGGUCUUUCUGCUGCUGCCUCUGGGCCAAGCAGAGGUGGGAGAAGCCCCCGGGCUGGAGUGGCCUGCUAUGGUCCUGGAGACAGGGUUCCUGGGGCCAGCUGGGAAACCCCAGUCCAAUCUCAGGGGUCCAGUGAGAGCCCUAGGCUGGCCAGUGUGCCCGGCAGAAACUAGCUCAAAGCAAUUUUCUUCCCAGCUGGUAGGAGAGAUAAAGGUUUGUGUGUGGAAGGGUGAGAGUCAUCCAUCUGGCCUCCUGGGAUCUUCUUCCUCCCCACGAGAUGGGGCGGCACGUCUAGUUCAGAGGCCUGACUCAAGGCCUCCUGGGGCCUCUGCCUCCCCCAGAGAAAGGCCAGGACCAGCGCCUGACCAGUUCUGGGUGCCCAAGAGGGUGGCCUGGCCAGGGUGGCAGUGGGGACAGGAGCCCUGGGCCUGAGCUCCCAGGAUGCAUAAUGUGGGGACGUGAAAGACAAGCUUAGCUCCAACCCACGACUCACCCUGUCCAGCCACUGGCAUCUCUGCCAACUCCUACAAAAGACCACAGCCCUCAGGCCCUGGAGGAGUAAGGUCAGCCCCUGGGAGGCUGAGGCCUGGAGACACGAAUGGAUGCUGGAGGAGGGAAAGAGCUGGCGUGUCUCUGCUUUUCAUGGCAGUCUAGCUGUGGGUCCAAGACAUGCAGAAGGUUGGGGGUUUCUCAGGGUCUGAGGGAGCCAACCUGGUCCUACAUUUCCACCUGCGACGGAAACCAGGAGACAAGUGUGUCAGAGCAUGAGGGGAAACACGCCUCCAUCUUUCCUUCACAGCCCCUCAGAGUGGACCCAGCCGCACCCUCCAGAGUCACUGUCCCCUCUCAGCCCUCAGCUCAGACCACCUGCCACAUCUCUGCACAUCUCUGUCUCACAGGCACCUCCAACUCAACCUGUUGCACAGAUCUCCUCCCCUGCCACUGCCCUCCCACUCUCUGCCAACAGUCGUCCUAGUCCUUUGAUCCCAGCGCCCACCCAGGCCAGCACAGGUGGGUGCCCGGCAAGCACUUGCUGGACUGAAUGAAGUCCAGUCCCCCAUGGAGGGGCCCCAGCCAUGAAAGGAAACAAUCGUAGAAUCAAAGUCAUUCCCUUUCCAUCUGAGAAGGCGGGAAGUGCAUGGAACAGGAAGACAGGAGGCCUAGGCCAAAAGCCCUACCACUGGGGCGGCUGGCCUUUCUGAUCUUCAGUUUCCUCACUUGACACAUGAGGAUCAUAAAUCUUGCCCUGUUUCUCUUGACAGCUAAGUAUGGGGAACCAAGGAAAUGUUACUAAGACAACUUGGUGGGGAGGGAGCCAGUGUUCACAGCCCCUAGGAUCCCUUUACAGUUUCUGAGCACAAGACUCCAACUUGCCCGCGUGAUUUCACUCUCUACAGCCAGCGGCCGCACCUUUUGUCAGAGGCCUGCCCGGGCUGCUGGAAACUGCUUUGGCUGUGAGUGCUGAGGGCUGGCAGUGCCUUGAACCAAUGACUGACAGGUAAGGGGAUAUAAACAUUCCAACUCCCUUGCCCUGACUGGGACAACUCCAAGGUGUGGCGCACACUAUCCUCAGAUCCCAUAGGGCUGAGGCAAACAGCCAUCCACAGGACACCCUCCAAUGUCCAACCAUUGCUUGGCUUCCUGCCUUUCCCUGUCCCUCUCCCCAGUCCCCUUACCAGAUUUUCCUGGGAAUGCAUCCCCAAAACAUCCCUUUCAUGCAAAUCUUUGUCUCAGGUUCUGCUCAGGAAGAACCCAAACUAAGAGAGUUGCCAACAAAAUUUGUAUAAAAAUCCAGAUUUCCAUUUCUCAUAAUGCUAUAGAUCUAGCAACCCUGGGCCCAUUCCCACUUGACAAAAAUUAGCUGGAGCUGCAUAGAGGCCACCCAAUAUAACGGAGAUGUUCUCUAGUUCUUCUCAUCCACCACACUGUCUACUGUCCCCCAACUGGCCCUUUUCACCCAUCCCUAUUCCCUGCCUGUCCCCAACAAGUUUAUGGGUUUACAAACCCUACAACAUAACGCAGUGGUUAAUAAUGUGGGCUCUAGAGGUGAUCGGCUUAAGUUCACAUUCCAGGUUCACAAAUUACUAAUCAUGCAACCUUGUAUAAGUCACUUAAUAUUUCUGUCUGUUUCUUCAGGUGAAAAAUGAGUAUAUACAUGUACCUAUAUGGUUCCCUCUAUAGCUGUUACACACUUCAUUGAGAUACUGCAUGUAAAGUAUCCAGCACAUGAUAAGAGGUCAAGAACUUACUAGUAUUUGUCCUCUUGGAGCAGGUGUGCCUGCCACAAUCUGACAGCCUAUGUUCAAUUAUCUGAGGUUCCCUGCCAGUUCCUCACUCCCUCUGUGGGGAGUGGCCUUUCCCCCAAGAGGUUUGCACUGACC
rnacentral:lncRNA from 1 species